UACGGAGGGUGCAAGCGUUAUCCGGAUUCACUGGGUUUAAAGGGUGCGUAGGUGGGCAGGUAAGUCAGUGGUGAAAUCUUUGGGCUUAACCCGAAAACUGCCAUUGAUACUAUUUGUCUUGAAUAUUGUGGAGGUCAGCGGAAUAUGUCAUGUAGCGGUGAAAUGCUUAGAUAUGACAUAGAACACCAAUUGCGAAGGCAGCUGGCUACGCAUAUAUUGACACUGAGGCACGAAAGCGUGGGGAUCAAACAGG
rnacentral:rRNA from 1 species